rnacentral:rRNA from 1 species
ACAGUAGCGUAAGCGGCUGUGGAGUUUACAGAAGUGAGAAUGCCGGAAUGAGUAGCGCGAAUGAUGUGAGAAUCAUCAUGGCCGGAAACCUCAGGUUUUUGGAGGAAGGUUCGUCCGCUCCAAGUUAGGCGGGAGCUAAGGUCAGGCCGAAAGGCGUAGCCGAUGCACAGACGGUAGAGAUUCCGUCCCCACCGAAAGAUUUAAGCACAGGGACACUUUUUGAAGGUCGGAGCCAGGUGUUGGUUCUGGUAGUGAUCGAGGGAAAUAUAGUACCGAAGUCCGGCUGGAAGAGAGGCGAGAAAAGCUGUGUGUAUGUUUAAGGUGCCCGUACCGCAAACCGACACAGGUAGGUAGGAAGAAGAUUCUAAGGCCAACGGGAGAAGGGUUGUUAAGGAACUCGGCAAGUUGACCCCGUAACUUCGGAAUAAGGGGUGCUCACGAGAGUGAGCCGCAGAGAAUAGGCCCAGGCAACUGUUUACCAAAAACACAGGUUUGUGCUAAAUCGAAAGAUGACGUAUACGAGCUGACGCCUGCCCGGUGCUGGAAGGUUAAAAGGAGAUGUGCAAGCAUUGAAUUGAAGCCCCAGUGAACGGCGGCCGUAACUAUAACGGUCCUAAGGUAGCGAAAUUCCUUGUCAGGUAAGUUCUGACCCGCAUGAAAGGCGUAAUGAUCUGGGCACUGUCUCAACAGCCCGCCCGGCGAAAUUGUAGUACCGGUGAAGAUGCCGGUUACCCGCGACAAGACGGAAAGACCCCAUGGAGCUUUACUGUAGCCUGAUAUUGGGUUUCGGUGUUGCAUGCACAGGAUAGAUGGGACGCUGGGAAAGAAGCGCUUUGGCGUUUCUGGAGCGGACGUUGGGAUACCAUCCUUGCGACAUUGGAAUUCUAACCUGCGCCUCUGAAUCGAGGCGGGGGACAUUGUCAGGUGGGCAGUUUGACUGGGGCGGUCGCCUCCUAAAAAGUAGCGGAGGCGUUCAAAGGUUCGUUCGAUCUGGACGGAAACCAGAUGAUUGAGUGCAAACGCAUAAACGAGCCUGACUGCGAGACUGACGGGUCGAGCAGAGACGAAAGUCGGAGUUAGUGAUCCGGUGGUAUGUGAGUGGAAAUGCCAUCGCUCAACGGAUAAAAGUUACCCUGGGGAUAACAGGCUGAUCUCCCCCAAGAGUCCACAUCGACGGGGAGGUUUGGCACCUCGAUGUCGGCUCAUCGCAUCCUGGGGCUGAAUUCGGUCCCAAGGGUUUGGCUGUUCGCCAAUUAAAGCGGUACGCGAGCUGGGUUCAGAACGUCGUGAGACAGUUCGGUCCCUAUCUGUCGUGGGCGCAGGAUAUUUGAAAGGCGCUGUCCCUAGUACGAGAGGACCGGGAUGGACGAACCUCUGGUGCACCAGUUGUCACGCCAGUGGCACAGCUGGGCAGCUAUGUUCGGAUCGGAUAAACGCUGAAAGCAUCUAAGCGUGAAGCCGGCCUUAAGAUAAGAUAUCCCACUGAGUCAAUCAGGUAAGACCCCUUGAAGACUACAAGGUUGAUAGGCACACAGUGUAAGCGGAGUGAUCCGUUCAGCUAGCGUGCACUAAUAGGUCGAGGGCUUGACCC